GAGGGUAUAGCUCAGUGGUAGUGCGUGUGCCUAGCAUGCCUGAGGUCCUGGGUUCAAUCCCCAGUACCUCCA
rnacentral:tRNA from 1 species